AACGAACGCUGGCGGCAGGCUUAACACAUGCAAGUCGAACGCGUGUAGCAAUACACGAGUGGCGCACGGGUGAGUAACGCGUGGAUAUCUGCCUUUUGGUUCGGAAUAACCCCGGGAACUGGGGCUAAUACCGGAUGGUUCCUUCGGGAUAAAGAUUUAUCGCCAAAAGAUGAGUCCGCGUACGAUUAGCUAGUUGGUGAGGUAAUGGCUCACCAAGGCGACGAUCGUUAGCUGGUCNGAGAGGACGAUCAGCCACACUGGGACUGAGACACGGCCCAGACUCCUACGGGAGGCAGCAGUGGGGAAUAUUGGACAAUGGGGGCAACCCUGAUCCAGCCAUGCCGCGUGAGUGAUGAAGGCCUU
rnacentral:rRNA from 1 species